rnacentral:rRNA from 1 species
CCUACGGGAGGCAGCAGUGGGGAAUUUUGGACAAUGGGCGCAAGCCUGAUCCAGCCAUGCCGCGUGUGGGAAGAAGGCCUUCGGGUUGUAAACCACUUUUGUCAGGGAAGAAACGGCUCUUACUAAUAUUAGGAGCUAAUGACGGUACCUGAAGAAUAAGCACCGGCUAACUACGUGCCAGCAGCCGCGGUAAUACGUAGGGUGCAAGCGUUAAUCGGAAUUACUGGGCGUAAAGCGUGCGCAGGCGGCUUUGCAAGACAGAUGUGAAAUCCCCGGGCUCAACCUGGGAACUGCAUUUGUGACUGCAUGGCUAGAGUACGGUAGAGGGGGAUGGAAUUCCGCGUGUAGCAGUGAAAUGCGUAGAUAUGCGGAGGAACACCGAUGGCGAAGGCAAUCCCCUGGACCUGUACUGACGCUCAUGCACGAAAGCGUGGGGAGCAAACAGGAUUAGAUACCCUGGUAGUCCACGCCCUAAACGAUGUCAACUGGUUGUUGGACGGCUUGCUGUUCAGUAACGAAGCUAACGCGUGAAGUUGACCGCCUGGGGGUAAGGUACGGCCGCGAGUAGUUAACGUUACGAAGUUAGAGUUAGACGGCGUUGAGACGNGCCGACGGACGACGACGAGGGAGGAGG